AUUCAUAAAUCAAAGUGUGAUAAAUCAAAGAAAUGGAUGUGGCCGACAGUUUAAGCGCGACUGAUAAUAUUUGCACUGGCAACAUUUAGUACGGGUGGAAGCUGGAUUGAAAAUAAUAUAAAAAAAUGGCGACUAUAAAGACGAGAAGGAAAAAUGAUUACGGCUACGUCAAAAUUAUAGAUAAAUAAAUACGCAGAAGGCGAAGCGAGAGAAGCAAUACUAUACGAAGUGAAAAGCGAUCGAAAGCGAAUAUUGUAACAUACUGACAAUUGAACCUGAUGGCCGAGUAACUAAACCCAAAGUUGAAGUCGUAUCUCCAAUUUUGAUGGAAUCAUCAUCAGCCCCAAGCCACGGCCACUACCGGACAUAUCCCAUCAUGAAGUUUUGCCAUAACGAUCGGGCAUAAAAUUGCAAUGAAAGGACUGGAUUGAACUAUGAAAACCUAAUAGUACAUUCUAGACUGUUAUACAGUUUCGCAAAGUUCUAUUAGUUUCCCAGACUAUCUUCAAGUUGUAUUGGCAAGUGGGAUUCGAAACAAAGUCACAGCACAAAUAGACAUCUAGUAAAUACCUUCUCACAGUACGCCAUCCAACCAACAGCAGAGGAAAACAUGAUUGUGUAUUUUUUUAAUAUAGGUACUUAAAUAUACAUAAAUCUAAUAUAUCAAUACACGCCGAAACAUCAUUUUGAUAAGUCUAAUAAAAAUACAGGAAACAUU